UAACAUUCCAUUUGCUGAUUUUGAGAAGUUCAUCCAAUUUCUCAGAAAGGCAUGAAUGGGAAAAAUGCAAUUCUGGAUUUGUAUUUCCUGACUGUGAAUGAGUGUUUCAGUUAUUUUAGCUUGAGAGCAGAUUAUAAGUUUCCUUUAUAUAUUUUUUAAAGAGAGAGUCUCACUGUAUCACCCAGGCUGGAGUGCAGUGGCACACUCAUAUCUCACUGCAGCCUCAAACUCCUGGGUUCAAGUUAUCCUCUUGCCUCAGCCUCCUGUAUAGCUGGGACUACAGACUUGUGCCACCACUCCUGACUAAUUUUUAAAAUUUUUUGUAGAGACAAGGUCUCUGUGUUGCCUAGGCUGGUCUUGCACUCCUGGCCUCAAGCAAUCCUCCUAUCUUGGCCUCCCAAAGUGCUGGGAUUACAAGCAUGAACUACCAGUGCCUAGCCCAGACUAUCAGUUUUUGAUCAACUACCUGGCUGUAUGUACCCUCUGAUAAUAAUUUUCACCUUUUCAUCUAAAAGUAUCAUCUGAUUUGUUAGGAAUUGGGCUGCAAGCAGAAACAUGAUACUUCCUUGUUAUUUUGAGUUUGUUUGUGGUAUCAUUAAAAUCUUGGUUUAGAUUUGAUCUAACAUUAAAUUGAGGUUCCUUGUAGAUUGGAGUUCUAUCUAGAAUUAUCUAGUCAUGGUUUACAAGGAAUUAGACUGGAAUUAAUAUUGGAAAUAGGGAGAUCAGCUUAGAAAAUGCUCUGACUUUGUGGAACAUAUUUGAUUUUGCUUUUUACGGUUUUAGAAAUACCUAUUAUCCUUCUAAACAAUUGCAGUUUGCCCACCAAUCCUAAUUUAUUUAUGCAGCUUUUUUUUUCCACCCCAUCCCCGGAAGAUGCCUUGACAGUGAAAUAAGUGAAAUCAGCAUCUUUCCUCUUUGC
rnacentral:lncRNA from 10 species